UCCACAGUAGCUCAAUGGUAGAGCAUCCGGCUGUUAACCGGAGGGUUGCAGGUUCGAGUCCUGCCUGUGGAG
rnacentral:tRNA from 1 species